rnacentral:rRNA from 1 species
UACGGGGGGGGCAAGCGUUGUUCGGAAUUACUGGGCGUAAAGGGCUCGUAGGUGGCCAACUAAGUCAGACGUGAAAUCCCUCGGCUUAACCGGGGAACUGCGUCUGAUACUGGAUGGCUUGAAUCCGGGAGAGGGAUGCAGAAUUCCAGGUGUAGCGGUGAAAUGCGUAGAUAUCUGGAGGAAUACCGGUGGCGAAGGCGGCAUCCUGGACCGGCAUUGACGCUGAGUGAGCGAAAGCCAGGGGAGCAAACGGG